GGAUCUGAUUGCCGGUUGCUUGAUAAAGAACCGUGGCGGUUAUGUUGCCAGGAAGGAAGAUUUGGUUGCUGCAGCCUGCGGCUCGCCUAUCUGCACCUGACCAUGUUAGGCUCGCAGUGUUUCAAGGCUUGAUUCUUGCUCCGCAAAUGGUUGGAGAGGCAGUAAAAGUAGGUUGCUUAUCAGUUCUUGCCGUUUCUAGUAAAGGUCAUGUCAGCUAAGGCCUAUAGAGUUCAACCGCUUCCGCGGGUUCUACGCCAUGAAAUUGUGCAGGUUGGCUUAAGUUUAACAUUAAAAAAAUGACUUAGAAGUUCAACCGCUUCCGAGGGUUCCACACCAUGAUAAUAUGCAGGUCAAUUUCGCUGACGGGACAUUCAUGGAUGGAAGCACAAGCGCGAUAUCAUGUGAUGGGCCCUUAAGAGAUCAAAAUGCUGCUCCUCUGUCAGGAGGAACACACAGGAGACAGUGGGCCCUUGUCCUGGGUGAAGUUCCGAAUGUCAUAUAGCCGUUUGUUACCAGAAGACUUCCCAUUUCUCGAAUGGGUAGGCUCUUCCUUAACUAUCUAUUAGUGUGUGUGUUGAUUGAUGGGAAUCAUCAGGGACCAUCAUGCUCACAAAAUGUUUUGGUUGAAUCGAUGAGUGAUCUAAAAUCAGCAGAGAUAAUUUAAAGUUUGUGAGGAGUUCAGCAGGCUUGUACUGAUUGAUUAGCAGGGUAACUUCAAGCCAGAGCAUCGUCCAUAUAUACUGGAUAGCUUCUGCCACCGAAUUGCUAGUGCAUUAGCCAUUAGGAUACCGGUUUGAACUGAAUGGAUUAGUUAGAAAUGCUUUCAAACCGAUGUACCUGUUGUAUGAGUUUGCCAAUUCAAGAAGAGAUAGAUGACUGUCACAGCACAGCACUUUACUUUGGGGGAUUCUUUUGUGUACAAUGAAUCCAUGUUGCUAAA